GGUGUGUGUGUGUUAGCAACUCUGAUUACCUCAUGCAAAUACUAAAAUGUCAGAAACUGUUCGGCCUUUUAUGUUUAAACCAGAGUCAGACAAAGAUGGAGAGACUCAAGAAGAAGUGACAACAUGUGGAAUGCAACAGGACAGGACAUCUCUGAAUGGAACAUUACCCACUAACUAAAGUGAGAAAAGUGACAUCAAAAUCAACCACCCCUUUAAAGCUUUUUGUCUUGAAAAAGGCGGUUGCUGACAAGUGCCUGUCGGGGACAAUAAACAUCAUCACACCAAGGCCAAGCAGGUGACGAGUGAACACGAAGACAGGCGAUCUGGAUCAGGAUGAUAGACGGAAGACGGACAGUAGACUGGAUACAGGACGAGACGAUCUCAGGUGGGUAAAUAAGGAGUCUAUACUGCAACAAGACCAGACAAGGAGUGAAAGGGACAUAUAAAGGGUGUGUUGAUGGAGUGCAGGUGCAACGAGUCACCAGUACUCUGGUGAUUGUGAACGAGUGGGCGGGUCCUGGUGAUUGAGUGAUGAUUGGGGCUGUGACGGUGUGUGACAGUAACCCCUCCUCCAUGGCUGGCUCCUGAUGGCCUCUGCAGUGGGGUCGGCCUCGACCUCGGGGGGCUGGGCGGUCUUCGUGGAACUGGGUGAGUAGCAACGGAUACAGGACGUCAUCCCGAGACAUUCAUGAGCGUUCUUAUGGACCAUAUCUCUCCCAGUCAAUCAGGAACUCAAGGCGGCCGCCCCGCCGAGGAUGAGUCAAGGAUGGAAUGGACUCGGUACACUAGAUCAGUGACAUCUAGAGUCUAUGUUGGGCCACCAGUAGCGAUCCUGUAAGAGCGAGAGGGUUUGCUGGCUGCCUGGGUGUUCUCUCCCGGCUCUCCAGAGAGAGCCUCCAGGGCUUUGUAGAAGGAACCCACAGCAAUCCUCCACCUCACCGUUGUAUGUUGCUGGUUGGGCCAUGGGAUUGGCACAGGGCAGGUGGCGAAGGAGCGGGUGGUGCAGAGGGGAGUUUGCUGAACCGCCUGGGCAAACUGCUC